rnacentral:misc_RNA from 1 species
CAGUUGUUCCCCUGCUCCAGUGAAGCAGCUGGUCCGAGUUUGUUUACAUUAGGGCACUGAUGGCAUGGGCCAGAAUGACACACUAGGAUUAAGACAUAACACUCUCCAACCUAAACCAGAGUGAAGGAAACUGCAGAGACCACAUGGAAUCAUCCAGACCACAUGGUCACUUGUGGAAUAAAGAAGUGCAACACUCAUCUAUUGUUUUGAGAAAGAAAGUUAUUGAAUUGUCAGCGAAAUCAACGAAAGAAAACGCAUUUUCUCCAUCCUCAGGUAUGAUGAAAUACAAGGAAAGUAGGAGUCAUGGGUUCUGCUCACAUUUGGGACUGUCUUCAAAUCAUACAUGAUGAAAACACCUCAGAAAAAUGGAUCAAAUUUGAGGAUUUUAUAAAUUUCCUGAAACAGCACCAGACUUCAGAAGAUGAUGUGAAAGAUAUCCGAAGAGACAAUAUAUUGCGAUCUUUGAAGAAACAUAGAAAUUGUGUUCGUGUGAUUGAAAAGAAUACUUGCAAGAAAGGAAACGUGCUGUCUGUAAAUGAGACUCAGUUAAAUUUCAAAGCAUUUUUAAGAUACUGUUUUGAUCAUUGUGACCGUAUCAAAGUAUGUGGCAAAGUUGUCAAUGAAGUUCAAUCAUGGGCUCUGUCAGAAGGAAGUUCAAGCGCUGAUGCUCUCUUUGAAUUUUACACUGUUGUGAGCAGGUCGGUCUUUAGAUAUGAUACAAUUGAUAAACUCUUGUGUGACAAAAUACAUCGUUUUGAAAUUCCUUGUUUGUACAAAUCAUACGAAAAGAACUUUGAAAAGGAAGAAUGGGAAAAAAUAAAAAUAUUUGAAGUUCACUUCUGGAAUAGCAUCAAAGAUGAGUCACCAGUUCAUUCUUCUGGCUACAGUAGUGAUCUUUCAAUCACAAAGCGUCAGGAACUGUUUAGUCAGUGUAAAUGGAUUUAUACAUUGAAAGAAACCCUACUCUACUCAAUUAAAGACGCAAUUAAAACCAACUCUAAUAGAAAACUGGCAGCAGACAACAUUGAGGGAGUUGUGUUAGAAGCAAAGACAAAGCACCUCCCGUCAUUGCUUGAUGAAACAAUCACAGAUCUCCUGGAAGACAACUUUCCAGGUUCAUUCUGUCCAGCUGUUUGUCUAGACUGUGAGCAGAUCUGCAAGGCAAAGCAUUCCCCUGGCAUUCACGUCUACUUGGAAGUGACGGAAGAUGCUGGUGAAAUAAAUAUUGACGACACUUUUACUUUGAUUAAAAGUGAACUUGCUUGUCAUCACAAAGAAAGGUGUGCAGAGGUUGUGAUUUUCGAAAGCAAGACCUUCAAAAGUUACAGCGUGGGUAACAGAGUCACCAAAAGGUUCCAUCUCCGCGAUGACGUCAGUCAAGGUAAUCUAUCCCGAAGGACAUCCACAUUCAAAUCAGAAGACUUCUUUGAAGAAAGUGAAGAGGAUCUGAGGGAUAGCAUUUGUCCGACAUGCGCGCCAGUGCUUACACAUACUGAUCCGUUGGACUUACAUUCAUUUGAUAUCUUCAAAGAAUGGAAAUUUUACGUACCCCUACCUUUCCAAAUUGUUCUUGAAACAUUCAUUAAUUUCCAAAGUGUAAGAAAGUCUCAGAGGCCUGACAAAUUUGUAAAGGAAAGGAUAGAGAAGCUGUACCUCCUUUUUGAUGCCAUGUUAAACAUCAACAACAAGAACUAUGCUGGCAUUAAUCAGGAAAUUAACACUGAUGAGCUUUCAGCGUCUUACCACAGCAUUACAAAUGUGUUUUCUGUAACAUCACAUGGUGGGCUUACUGGCAGUCUGAAGAAUGCAACUGAAAGACUACAGAGACAGGCAGACCCUGACAAGUGCUAUUAUAACACUUUCAUAAAAAAGUAUGACCUUGACUAUGAAGCACAAGAUGGCCACAAGCACCAGGUUUCCCUUCGAGAUUGCCACCUUAUUUUCUGUUUGGACAAUCUUGUUAGGUUGUCCUUUCACAGGGAUCCAGACAGAGGAGAUUCUAGGUCCUCACAAAUAUGCACUUUGCCAAUGACCUUGAUGGGAAUACCAAGGAAUGCUGCAGUUCUCCAAGAAUGGCAUGAUGACAACAUAUGUGAUGGCACAUCCACAUGUCAAUGCAGAGAAGCAGUCAAGAUGAACAAAGAGGAUUUAAAGUUUGUAUUCCAUCAACUAACAGUUGCAGAAGAAUCCCAAAGGGCCGACUUUCAAAUGAAGCUUACUUGGAAUUUACAUUACCUGUGGUCUGAGAUCGACCAAACAGUAGCCGCAUCACAUUUGACAAGUGCAAUACAGAAUAUAUUCAAUGGGCAUGAAGCUGCUGGAGGACAGGAAGACACAAUGGAAAAUGUUGUAUCUGAAGAAUGGCAUGACUCAUACAACAACGAACUGGACACAGUGCUAAGACAACUUGACAAAGAAGAAGGUCUGAUGGACAUGUCUCUUUCUGACAUUAUGUCAGAUACUGAGUUUGACGGUAGUUGUGAAAGCUUGAUGCCAGAUUCAGACUCAGAAUACAAUCAGAAUGAGAUGACAGAUGUCGAUCUUGAGCUUUCACAGAUGAAUGACAGUUUAAGCGUUUUGAAUUUAGGAUGCUCGCCCCUACCUAACAAUCAAGGAGACAUGUCAUCUGAGGACCUGGAGGCCAAUGUCACUGUCAUUGAAGAUCUCAUCUCCACACUGGGAUACACAAUAUACAAACCCCCCUCUGUCUUGGUAAGGCAUCCACCUCCAGCAAUUGGCCGAGAUGAUGACAUUCAUAAAAUGCGUGACAUUUUGAAUGACAUACUGGUCAAAUCAGCAGCAAACCCUGAUACAUGUCGCAUUUUGUUUGCUCCUGACAACAAAAUAGGAAAGUGCCUUUUCAAGCUGAUGGAUGAAGACAUGCAAUUAGGAAAUAUCUACCAGAAUUUCCACUACUACAUCUGCGGAAGUCAAAGAUUGUGAACCUUUGCAGUGCAUACAAAGAUGCUGGCCUCUUUCAUCUCCUGAGCUACAUGCACGACACGACUGAAGACUGGAAGAAACUCGUCAGCACAGAAAACAUUGAAGCAGCAACCCAUAACGUCCGAAGAGUUUCCUAUGCGCUUCACGUAGCCUUCAUGAUAAAAUUCCUUUCAACAAAAGCCCCAAAUAAUGCAAAGAUUAUAUUUAACUCUUUGAAGGAAAAAGCUCUGACGAUUGAAGCCAGAUGGAUGGAAGAGUAUUCCGUUUUCAUGAAGGAAGGAAGUAAAACAAAUGCCACAUUUUCUUUGCAUGCAGAAAUGCUGAGUCACUGUGAUGAAAUUCUUGCCCUGGCGGUUGCAGAGAGGAUUGGAGGUCCAGACGGUUAUAAUCUUAUGCUUUCAGCUGUUAAGACAUCACUGCCAUUUUCUUUCCUAAAUGGAGCAAGUUCAUAUGGAGCCUUUUGUUGUCGACUGCUCUAUGAACAUUACAGUUCGGGUCCAUUUCAUCAACAUAUGAAGCAAUCUUUCUUCAGCACCCCUUACAGAGGAAGUGAAGGUAAUUUUGCCUUAGAUACCCAACGAGAAAUGGAACAUAGAGAUGCACUCAAGGGUUUCAGGCCAAGAUCUACGGUUACAUCUGUUCUUCCGCGGAUGUCACUGGUUGAUAGAUUCUUGGAUAUUGAAUCUUUCAGGGAAGAAAACAACACAAGCCAAACAAAGGAAAAUGUCAACAGUAAAACAUGGAGUGUAACACGGCAAGACCUUAAUCACAUCUAUCCCACUGCUGUCCUUAUACUUAGACAAGGAGGACUUGACAUGAAUGCAGAGACCAUUCCAAGAAAUGUCUAUGCACCUAAGCCAACACCACUCCCAGAAGUUGCACUGGACAGGAACACCUAUGAAGUUGGAAGAUAUCUGAUUGACAAAUUUGUAUUUGAGAGCAAUUUCCAUGAGUCUCAAGAAGAUGAAAAACCUUCAAUUGACUCAAGCUCAAAGGCUAAAGAACUUGUGAAGAAAGUUCAAACAAUGAAGGGCGUGACAGUAAGAAGAAUGAACUGCAAAAGUCAGGUACCCACUGAGGAAAAACAAGUUAAAGAAAUAAAAAGGAAGAGAAAAGUAAAGUCCCUCCUGGGUAUUGCAGAAAGCUUGUCAUCAGAAAUGAAAUGUUGUCAGGCAGUUGUCAAACCCGACUGUUCAAAGUCAGCAGUGCAAAAGUCAACUGGCAUGAAAAAAGCGCUUGUUCAUCAACUUGAGAAGCUACUGCAACAGGACCAUCAGGAUGGAGGCACCACCACAGAAGACAUCCUUAAAGAAGAGAAAUUACUGCAAAGUGGAAUGAAAGAUUUUCCAGUUGGUUUGCUGUCAAACGUAUCAGUUGCUAUUGUUGAAUUUGCAGGACAAAUUCAAGACAAGAGCGAGAUCUGGCCAGGAAUAUUUGAAGAUGGUAGAAGAUAACAUAAAGAAAAUCUUGAGACACAUCUACAAAACACAUUGUGAUAUGUGAGGAAAAGUACAAGUUCACUCCUGAUGACUUCAAGGCUUCAACAAGAGUGAAUAGAACCAAAUCGCAGAUUCAGUCAAUUUCCCACCUGAAGAGGGGCGACGAAAUCAUCAGCAGUUCAGUUUUUGACAAAAAGGCAGUUGUCGGAACUGAAGAAGGUAAAUCCCUUAUAAGCUGUUUUCUGGCCAAGAAUGUCAAGUCACUGGGUAUUGACAAAGAACUCAAACUGGACAUUGACAGUGAGUGGAUCACUGAUGGCUGCAUCUGCGACAGAGAAAAUAACUGUAACUGCUCGACAAAGUUUGCAAUACCAACCCGAAAUAUAUUUUCAAGGGAAGGCUUUGUGCAGCAAAUUAAGCUUGAGAAUAUUCAACAAAGGAAAGGAGAGGCGGAAAUGUCCCAAAUGGACUGGCUGGUGCACAUCUCAUCCAGUCUUGAAGCUACAGAUGAAGUUGUGUCAGUCGUGACAUCUGGGGACAUUGACGCCAUUCCAAUUCACCUUUUUGCUCUUACAGCUCUGUGGCCUAGGAAGGAUGACAAUUCUUUCAGAAACAAAGUCCAUGUUUUACUGCAGAAGCCAGGUGGUGUUGAUGUCUAUAAUAUCACUGGCAUUAUUGAGCUGCUGGAGAAGAAACUUGGACCAAAUGCAGGAAUGAAAGUUGCCAUGGGACUCUGCCUUGGGGGAAAUGACUACUUGCCAAAGUAUUCUGGAGUUUCUCACGACAAGAUCCUGAGAACAUUCGUUGACAAUGCCAACUUUUUCCAGAAUUUGUUCUGUUUUGAUCAGCGAGGCAGUGGUCACGUGUCAAAGGAAACCUACCAUGAACUCAUAAAGUCAAUAUAUUGUCCAAGCACGUUGGCUUCUCAAAAGCUGACCUUUGAAGAAGUACGUCAGCUAUCAAUGAAACAUCCUAAGAAACAAGACUUUGCUAGACCCCAAACGUGGCUUCCCCCAAAGAGUGCACUGGACCAGAUUUGUCUUCUUGUAGAUUAUCAGGUCGAAUAUCUUUUUCUAGCUGGCAACCACUCAGCAAUACUCCCAAACUUCCUUCAAAAAGGCUGUCUCAGAAAGAACAAAGAAGGGGAUGUGCAUUACUAUCUUGGAGAUGAAGUGAGCACAGAGAAACUGGAGGAUUUGAUUCAAAUUCCAGAAGCGACACUGCUGAAACGUAUCACGGACUGCAAAAUACCACAAAAGAAACUGGACAAAAGAAAGAGGACACUAGAAGAUACACCACAAAGAGGUGCCAGGAGAAAACAGAAACCAGUUACAUCAACUCCAAGGAAAUAGUACCACAGAUUCCUGUUCUGUUUACCAACCUGUGGAAUAAAACUGUUCAUAGUGAUGUGUUUGAAGUUGGAACAUGGACUGAUCAAGAAAAUGUGAUAAUAUUCGCUGCCAUACUGAAGAUGUGUCAAGUUUAGUGCAAGGCAAGGAGUGCAAGUAUAUCAAGCAGAUCCAAAGGUUGCAGAUAUUUGUGCUGAACAUUUGGUACAUUAAAUACAUCCAUUUUGUGUUUGGUACAGUCACGGGAAUGUAUGAAUGUACUUGCUCUUGUACUAGUAGUGGGCAGAAAGACCAUGUCUAUAGCAUCUGUUGUUUUAUAAAGUUGCUAACAGCCCUUUAGAGAUGUUACUAAUUACGACAAAUCACCAAAAUAAUGCAAGUGUCCACCCCUAGACGUCGUCAUAUACCAGUAGCUGGAAUAUUGCUGAGUGCGGUGUUAAACAACAAACACACAAAAAUGCAUCAUGAUAUUAAUGCGAGUAGCCCUGCCUGAACUAUAAAACCUAAUCGGCGAACUAUUACAACAAAACUUUUGCCAUCUUCACCAACUUAACUUCAGCUGCUUGACAUGAAAUGAAAGCAUGGGAUUCAAAUAUCGUAUAGUUUUAUAUUCUAUUAGACUGCUUUACGUUGUCGGACUUAUUUAAAGACGAAGGUGUGCAGCGUUUUCCUUAUAAUGUUAAAUCUUUAGAUUAUCUGACAGGUUACCAUGAACAAAGACGACGUCACAAACGGUUGGCAACUGUCAUAAACGGGUGAUCAACCUGUGUAAACAAACUGACCAUACCUGAAGCACUGUCCACGUCUAGCACUCAAGUACAUUGUUUUCGGCCAUGUGCAGUGAAUUUGACAUGACAUGACAAUGUAAUCCAAUUUGUCCAGAUAAAAUGGGUCACUUGCAUCUUGGUAUUAAUUUCAUACUCACAUUAAUUUCAUGAUUUACAGUAUGUCAUUUGCUGGAUCCACUUUGUAUGUAUUGUUUCUGCUACAUGUAAAAACUUGAUUUAUUAAUUAUGAAUUUGUUUGAAUACUUCAUUAAUGUUUACUGUGUUACUUUGAUA